ensembl:lncRNA
GAUAUAAAUGUCUUUCCUAACCUCAGUGAUUCUCUGGUUCUGGGUGCUUACUGCUGUUUUUCCGAAGCUCUCUGGCACUGGCUGACCCUCUGGAUCAGUAGCACAGGCAGCUGCAGCCCCAGGCCUGCUCUCCUUGGCGCUCACACCUCCCAGCUGGCACUGGCACAGAGCUGGGUCCGUGAUUCUGUCCUGGCACAGUCUCCCACACGCCCGGCACUUGGCUGAGGGCUCCUGUGGGUGCAGCUGCUGCUGUGGGAGCAGGGGCAGAGCAUGGGGCUGGCCACAGCUCACCCACCUCACACAGAGAGCCAGGGACCGCGGUGGGCACUGCAGGGGCCUGCGGGAUAAUUGCAUCUCAGAAGUACACAGCUGGAGGAAAUUGAUGGUAUGGGCUUCCUGGGGCUGUUUUGCAACAAUCCAGGAAGAAAUGGAGAAUGUAGGCUCAAGGAUGAGGAAAGAUCAGCAAAAUCCACAGAAGUUUAACUGAGAAGUAGUAUGCCUCAGAAGAACUGACAGAAAACCUACAAAUGCUAUCAAAAUUAUGGAUAAGAGUGGAAAGGCAGGCAACAGGUAUAGCCUGUCUCUGCAAAGAAGAGAACUCAGUCUCAACUUCAGAGAAGUGCUGUCCUAGAGAAUUAAAAUGGAUUUGAUACAAAAUACCAACCCCCACUGACAUACUGCUUCCCCUCCUCAGUAGGAUUUGGGAGACAUGGAAGACUGCUGUGUGGUACCAAAGUGGUGUACACCUCACCAAUAUAUUGCUUUAGAAAAGUGUUUACAUACUUAAUGUCACUGCAGUUCCUAGACUGAGGGAAAAUCAAGUUGUUGUCCCACCCUCAAAAUUGACAUUAGCCUAUAUAUUAUUGUCUCCUUUUGACUGCCUCCACUUGAACAUUUUCUUUUGAGGCUGGAGUGGGACCUUGCUUCUCUGCAAGACUUUACAUUUUAUUUGUUUUCAUUAAGGCACAAAUCAGGGAAAGCAUAAAAACAAAUGUGCCAACCAGUAGUUCUGCCCUCUGCACAUAAGAAGCAUGCAACAGAAAUUGAUAAAAAACGCUCCUGACUUCCUAUCUGUCUCUUCUUGACCAACUCUCCAAAGCUGCCUGUAUAUAUAUUUUAUAAUUGUUAUUCUUCCAUUUCUUCUAUCUUUUCUCCUUUGAAAAACAGCCUAGAAUGUCAUUAUGGAAUUAGAAGAAGAAAAUCAGUAAAUUACAAUUUAGUAUCUACCUGCAUGUACAAGAAACAUUUUCCCUUCCUGGAGCCUUUCCCAGAAGUUUUGCUGCACUUAACAGACUGUUAAAUAGGCCAGGCUGAGAAGCAAUGACUCUCAUUUACUAUGGGCAUUUCUGUCAGAAGACAUGUCUAAGUCAGAAAAUGUCCCAGUCCUCAAAUACUUCUUUAAAUCAAGAUAGAACUGAAAGAAGCAUUGCCUCAGCUUAAUUAGAGAAAGGGAAGAGAGAUAUACCUAAAUAUACCCAAAUAUAUUCAGGUUUAAGCUCACUGGAAUCCACAGUCUGGGUGCAGAUUCAUCCAUAGUUGAUGUUCAGCAACUCACCCAUCUCUUUCCUAAGAGAUUUGAGUGCUCAGAAAAAGGCUGUCAUUUCAGGGAUUUUUAUCACCUCCCCACACUCCAUUACAGCUGUAGCAAAUGAAGAUGUAAACCACUCCUCAAGAGGGACAUUCAUGAAAAAAAUUUCUGUCUGUUAAACUAGGUAAGCAACACAUCUAUGCUAAGUCAUUUUUCACUGUAAUAGGAUAGCACCAAGAGGGUAAACACGUUUUUCAUCUGAAGUAGCUGCUCCCACAGCACUGUCAGAGAAGCUUGCCCUCCCAAAGCAGGGAGGGGAGAAGAUUAGAAAGCAAAUAAGGAGAAGUUUCAGAAUGACUGAAGUAGAAACUGAUCAAGAUGGGUGGGAAGAGGUUUUGUUCAGAAUCUUGCCUUUUGCUUUCUUGAUAAUGUCUCUAGUGAAACAAGGGCUCCUUCUAUUUGUUGGGAGCCUCCUUUUAGACCUGACCUGACUGACCUAUUCAAUCUUCCUCCUCUGUGUUCUGCCAUAAAUUACUUUAUCACCUCCUGCAUAGCUAGACUUUCCACUGAAUGUUUUCUUCUGGCUUAUUGGAAAUUUUCUUUGUUUUAAAUUUGUACAGUAUUACUCCAAUUGCUGUCAGCAAUAAGAUGCCAAAAUAGAUUCGAAUAUAUGUGGCUGAGUCGCACAUAAGAAAUGUUCUCCUAUUUCACACCCCUUGCUGCAUUUUCUUCUGGUAUUUUUUCGUUUUGUUUCCUUGUUUUCUGUAAACUCUCUCCAUGAAGGCCCUAUGCCACCAUGGGAACAUUACUGGCUUCCUUCAAAAACUAUUAGGAAUGUUCCUUUAACAAGCCAGAUGGGCAAUUAAACAAAAGGACCAUAAGGUGUCAGAGGAAACACAGGGGGAUUUAUUGUUUUUAUACUCACAGAGGUGGAAAUAAGAAGUCACAUCUAAGGUUUGCUAAAGGACAAUUGAAGUGUUGGUCUCAACAUCAUUCCCAAUUCCUGCCAGCUCCCUAUGAAACAUGGACUAGAUUAACCAGUGUGAGACAAUGGUGCAACAGUGUUUGCACUCAAAGCUGAGCCACUUUAAGUGAACUGAUGCAGCAUUUAGACAGACAAACCUUUGGUGAUUGAAAAAAAGUUUCCUUCUCCCUUUGCUUUCAAUCAGACCUACCAAACCAUUAGUUUAAGUCUGAGGCACAAGCACAGGUAGACCUGAUUAGACAAUGAAGAAACCAAAUAGCACCCAGAACCACCUAAAUAUGAGCCUUUAUGAUUUCAGAUUUGGUCAUUGCACAUCCACCAUGUGUGGGGGACAUUUUUAACUAUACCACGGACUCAAGUAUGUCUAACAGCACAGUCAAAAUAACAAGGACAUCAACACAGACUGCAAAACACACCCAAGGAGUCUGGUAAAUAAUUGUGAGGCUAGUCUACCUUAAGCUAUGUGCAGCCUUGGUUAGCAGGCUUCAGGAGUGUUUGUGUUUGGGAACAGAAGGACUUGCCUCACCGUGAGUCCAGAUCAGCCAUACCCUCCACCUGAGAAAGAAGAGGGCGAGCUCUACAAUUGUUACAAGGUUUUUUUGCAUAGAAAAGGGGAGUGAUGUUAGUAUGAAAAACAAACCAAAACUCUGUUUGUCUACAAGCUAAUCCCAAGAGAGAAAUGUGAUUUACUCAGAACACAGCCUGCAGCAGCUUCACUGAAGUCAGUGGGUGCCAUGCAGGAGUAAAAGGGAGACUAUUCCUCUUGACCAGCAGGCAAGCCUGCAGCCUACACAAAUGGCAAAGCUUAUUUCUUGCUGCUGAAUUUUAAGAUUUAGAAUUCUGAAGCAAUGAUUUUGGACUUAAUUUGGGCACUGAAAUCCCUCAUGUUUCCUCUAAAAAUUUUGGUCUGCUUGUUGACAGCUCAUUAAACAGCCCUUUACCUUGAGACAGACCAGACAUUUGUCAGAUCUUUUUUCUACUUUUUCUCUCAGGAUUCAGAAUCAUUUAAAUUAGGUAAAAUUGAACAAAUAGAAAAAACAGCUGGUUGUAUUUUUUCUUUGUUUUUUCCUCUGUAGACUAUAUUAAAAAAAAAAUCACAACUAAUUUUAUGUUGACUGAGCUUUUUCCAAGGUCUUUUAACUUAUAAAAAAAAUGGAAGAAAGUAAAAUAAACUGGUUUUGUAUUUCCCUUCUAUUUUACUA